UACUUCUUAACCUAAUUUUAUCCUCAAAAAACCCAUCCCUCAACAAUCUCUCUCUGCAACACACCGACCCAUCUCCAUCAAAUGCGCCGCCACGAACCAAGCUGAGCCACAAACCCAAACACAACCUCAAUCCUCAGAUCGCGUCUUCAAAUUCGCUGCCGGACCCGUCGCCCUCCUUGAAAACGUCCUCCAUAAGGCCCAAUCGGAGCUCUACAACUGGCGUGGAUCUGGUAUGAGCGUGAUGGAUAUGAGUCACAGAGGUAAAGAAUUUCUUUCCAUUAUUCAAAAAGCAGAGUCAGAUCUGCGUACCCUUUUGGAUAUCUCCUUGAAAUAUUAUGUUCUUUUCCUCUAAGACGGUGCCACCACUCAGUUCGCCGACGAAACACUGAAACACCAAUGCCUCGGUACUACUGUGACUACUGCGAUACCUAUUUGACUCACGAUUCUGUAAGUUAUAUUCUGAUAAAUGAGAGGUUCACUCACUAUAAUUUCCAUUGUAAGCCACAGGGGACAAUGCAAAUGUUGCUAACUUUGGGUAAUGUUGCAGCCAUCUGUUAGAAAGCAGCAUAACUUUGGUUAUAAACACAAGGUGCUGUCAACUUUUCUCACUUUUAUAAAUUAUACUACAUUACAAUCUAAGUCAUAUUUGUUAGCUUUGUUUGAUGUGUUUGUCUUUUCAGGCUGAUGUUUUCUAGGUAAAUUUCUACAAUCUUUGAAUUUCCAACUAGCUCGUCAAACUUUAAUCGGCUAUUCUAUAUAGGUGAGUAACUCAAAUUUUAGUAUACGUGGUUCAAAUUUUAGUUUGUUAUGUGUGUUUUGGGUUAGCUUUUGAUUAAAAUAUCUAUGAACUGAUUUGGUAAUGUGGUUUAUAAUUGAGUUUGAAAUUAAGUGAUCUUUUCAGUUUUUUAUCAUGAAAGAUAUUCUUAUAUAAAGGUUAGUAUAAAUCUUUAACCAAAAUAGAACCUGAUCUUUAGUAUGUUUAUUAUUGACUAUAUGCAACUAACGAUACAACUUCAGGUGAAUUCUACACCAAAAUUGAUAGUCAAAGGUUUGAGACAGGGUUGUCAUUGACAAUGCGGUUUGCUCCAAUUCAACUAUAGUCAAGGUAAGACGCAAAGAAAAUUCCUUAAUUUAGAUUCCUUAACAAUCAACCCUAAUAAGCAAAGAAAAUUCCUUAACUAGUAGGAGUAAUUAUUACUGUAAAUGAGUUAUUAAUGUUUGUGAGCUAUAAAGCCACUAUUAAUGUUUGUGUCUUGUAGGAGAUAUUCUUAUUAAUGUUUGUGUCUUGUCGUGUACUUCUACUUCUAUAACUACUAACUUCUUAUAUGAAUAUUCUUGUGUUGUUUGACAUACUUUGAAAAUUGUACAGGGUCAGAUCUGAAUUUGGAUGGAAACAUUGGAAGUUUGUGACAUCAAUUAUUCUACUUCCUAAUGUGUUGAUUAUUUUCUUGCAGCAAUAUUUCGUACUUGCUGAUGGUAUAUAUUAGAACAUAGAAAUGAAUCCCUUAAUGUGUUGAUUGUUUUCUUGGAUUAUCAACCAAGUUUGAUUAUUCUUUGUUACGGUUAUAUAGCACCCAUGGCUUUGCCUCAUCAUGUGUCAAUUGGAUUUUUAAAGAAUAUCGUCCACCCUACAUAUUUUCUAUAACCUUGAAUACUCAAUAAUUCCGGUACUUCAAAAGCAAUGCAAUAUCUAAUUCUUCUCUGACGCUAAUAUUGUUGAUUUAUUGGCUUCUUACCAUAUUUAAUAUAACUUUGUUUGCUUGGUAACUGUUUGAAAGAAAGAAUGCCGUUAACACUGUUGACUAUUUUCUUACAAAUCUAAAAUGCUGUUUGUGAUCUUGUCUUUAUAAAUUAUUAAGUUAUUUUAGGCGUUCUUAUUGCUUUGAAUUUCUCACUGUCAGUGGAUUAUUUUUGGAUAGGUUGUAUUCGAUGGCUUUUAGCAGGUUGGAAGGAACUUUAUUUUAGCAGGUUGGGUUGAAACAUGAUGAUUUAGUAUUUUAGUUAUUAAUCAAGUUUUAUAUGGAUUUGUAUUUUUUUUCCUGAAAUUUAAUGGUUUCAAUUUUAUUUAGCAUAAAGUGAUUGGUUAGCAAACAAGACUUCCCUGAAUUUGUAUUAUAUAAUUUUAGCAUGUUGGGUGAAACAUGAUGAUUUCAUGGUAACUGAUAUUGGUUGCAAACAAAACUUAUGUGUUGUAAUUUCAUCGUAAUUGCUACGGUGAUUAUGAAACUUCCCAUAAUUAAGUUGAUGAUAUACUUUCACAUACUACCCAUUGGAUUGAGCUAAACUAUGUAGAAUGCUUAGAAUGACGAGAUGAUAGUGGCUUUAUGGCUGACAGUUUCAAAAUGCAUUAAGUUGUUUCAUUCUUGUAUUAAUUUAUAUUAAGUUGUUUCAAAAUAUAUGUUUCAUUCUUGUUUUUUGUUUUAUAGCUUUCAUUAUGUGCCUUAUUUAAUAUUAAAAUUGUUUAUAUUUUAGGAGUUUUAUAUUAGAAAUAAGGAUGGCACCCCGAUUAGUUCAGAACCGGAGCGUCAAAGAGUGAUUCAAUAAGUUAACAGAUGAAAGUGUUUUGAAGUAUAUUGAACAAUCACUUGGUAGCAUUCACAAUGUGAUGUGGUUGAGGCUAAAGUUUGAUAACACAGUGGCAUAACUGCUUCCUUAAUUUAUGUUGAAAAUGGAUUCAACAUGGUUUCAAGAUGAUAUUGAAUGUUUAAUCUUUUAGAAAUUAUGUUUAACGAUUUCAGUUUGAUGUGUAUAUGUUCAUUUAUGUCUUUAAAGAUAAUGUGUAGUUUCUCAGACUACAUAAUAUUAACACCGUCAUACCCUAAUUUUUGACCCCCGUGAGAUGUCACACCUCCAAACAUCUCAUCAAACUCAAGACAGGUACUCAGAGCAGUCACUUGUUUGUCUGAUACCCAAUCGAGGGUGCUCAAGGACAAGGAGUUCAGACAAAGGAUCAAUCAAUAUGAGAAUGACCUCUAAUACAAUCACAUGACUCAAAUGAUUCAUUCAUUCACCUAUGAGUGAUUAGACACUAGUCAUCAGGGCUCAGGUUUACUCAGGACACCAGACUAGGGUUUUGAGCUUAUCAAGGACUGAAAUCAGGGACCACAUUUGGGAAACUCUAAAAAGCUCCAAGACAUCACUCAAAGGAUUCAAUCAUCUUAAAAUGAUCCAUAUAACAAUAUCCAUUGAGCAUUGUACCUCAAUUCAAGAUCUACAAUCAUCAAUUUCAUCUGGUCGACAAUUAGGGUUUUUGACCUAAUUCACCAAGACAAUUGACUUUUAAUCAGGACAUGUAUCCACAACUCAAAACAUGACUCAAGAACUUCUAUUACCUUAAUAUAAUCCAUUCAUAUCACUCAUUUGAGGAGGAGGACUUGAUUCAUUACCAAAGUCCAAGAUUUCAUUUCAUCUAGAAAAAGUCAACUGUACAAGAUCACCUUUGACUUUUAGGGUUUUGGAUCAAAACAUGACUUUUAAGGAUCAAUAUCAUCAAUAUAUGAUUAUUGAAUUCAUUUGACCAAGAGAAAUCAAUAAAAUCAAUCAAGAAUCAAAAAGUCAAAGAUUGACUUUUCAUACUUAGAAAUUUUUCUAAGUGUUUAAAGGUCUUUUUUUCAAAACUUUGGAAGGGAAUACUCAAAAUUUCAGGUACAAAUUGAAAAAAACUUCCAACAUCAAAGUUGUAGAUUUUGAUCCAAUGAACAACUUUGUCACAUAUGAUUUUUUGGCUAGAAAUCAAGCAUUGCAGAGAUAUGGAGCUUCAAAGUUGCUGCCUCCAUGAAUCUAGCAAAAAACCCUAGUUUUCUUCAAACUUUGAGCCCAUUUUCACAAUUUUCCCAAGUGAUUUUGAAGAAACUCCAAACUAAUGAAUUGAAGUACAUGUUAAGGGCUUUCCAAAAUGUGCUCAAACUUCUCCAAAUUCAUUUUGAGCUAGGAGUUAUGAUGGUUCAAAGUUGGGCUCAUGGAGUGAAAUUAUAGGUCAUGCCUAAGUUUGAAACUUGCAAUUUUAUGCAAAUGCCUACACUAUUUGGUUCUGUCAUACCCCAAUU